ACCUAUGCCUCCAUUUUUUCCUGCUGUGGACAACCUUUGAGUUCCCUGGGCCUGUUUAUGCCAUGGAGUUUUUCUUUCUAGGGCCACAGCCUGAAGCUUGGAAUCGAGUUUGGGACUGAAAAGAGUACCAUCAUCGACAGAAGCAAAAGUCCUUAUCUGCUGAAAUCUUUAUUGACAUACUUAAGUGGCGAAAUAAUAUGUCAGGGUUUUACUUUAAAAUACUUCAGGAUCAAAAACAGAGGGAAAAUAGAGAAAGCUUACUCAUUGGAAUUCUAAGGACAGCUCCAGUUAACAUGAAAGUAAAAAUAAAAACCCAGAAAACCUUUUGGACAGAUUACAACAAAGAAGAAUUCUGAUACCUCUUGUAGAUUCAUUUUCCACCCCAAAGAUUAGGUAACAAAGGAGAUGUGGGAGAGAAAGAAACAAAAUGGGAGAGAAAUUGAGAUAAGAGAGGACCAUGUGAAGGAGGUGAAGUAUUUAAAGUGGAAAGGAGGAAAAUAACCUGAACUCUUAACUGCUCUUGAAAGUUCACUCUGUCUUCACUCCAGCUCUAUUGACUGAUUACCUGUAGCCCACUUGCUAUUCAACAGUCUUUAUCAAAGACAGAUCACUUGGAUACUUUUGUAUGAGUGGUGUCACAAAAAGACAUCUUGAGCCACCAAAUAAGGUGCAAUAUACAAACCAGAAGUCCCAUUCAGCCCAGUAUUUGUUCUCAAAUGUCAUAAAUGCUGUGGACAAGAAACUUUGCACAACCAGAA
ensembl:lncRNA LINC02264 long intergenic non-protein coding RNA 2264